rnacentral:rRNA from 1 species
AUUGAACGCUGGCGGCAUGCCUUACACAUGCAAGUCGAACGGCAGCGGACCUUCGGGUGCCGGCGAGUGGCGAACGGGUGAGUAAUAUAUCGGAACGUACCUUUCAGUGGGGGAUAACGUAGCGAAAGUUACGCUAAUACCGCAUAUUCUGUGAGCAGGAAAGCAGGGGAUCGCAAGACCUUGCGCUGAUUGAGCGGCCGAUAUCAGAUUAGCUAGUUGGUGAGGUAAAGGACUCACCAAGGCGACGAUCUGUAGCGGGUCUGAGAGGAUGAUCCGCCACACUGGAACUGAGGCACGGUCCAGACUCCUACGGGAGGCAGCAGUGGGGAAUAUUGGACAAUGGGCGCAAGCCUGAUCCAGCAAUGCCGCGUGUGUGAAGAAGGCCUGCGGGUUGUAAAGCACUUUCAGUGGGGAAGAACAGAUUCGGGUCAAUACCCCGGAGCCCUGACGUUACCCACAGAAGAAGCACCGG